CCCAGUCCCGGCCCGGCGCUGCGCCGGGGCAGCUCGCAGCCUCCCCCUCGUCCCGCAGCGGGGAGGGGUCUCCCUGGAGACUGAAGGUUGGGGCGCGCUGCCUCGCCCCCUAGCCCAGAGGGGCGUACCCGUGCGCCGAGAGCCCCCAAGCCCGUCUCCCCUUACCUCCUCGGCCCAGCGCCUACCUCCCCGAAUCGCGGCCGCUGGGAGCGGGGUUCGAUCCCGUGAUGCCGCGUGGGUGCCGGCCAGAGAAGAGCUCCGGAGGCCGGGGCGGCCGGCGGGCGUGCGAAUGUCAUCUUUCCCAACAAGUUGUUCCCAGCAGAAUCCUCUCUCCUGGCACAAAACAAGCAGAUGAAGAGGUAAAUGACCUUGUGCAAAUCUCUUCUCCCGCUGAGCCUGCCCCCCAACCCCUGUUAUUCUAGCUAUCCCAAGGACUCUGCAAAUUAGGCAGGAUGACAGUGGUUGUUCCCGUUAAACAGAUGGGAACAAUGAGGCUCAGAGAGAUGAGAUGAUUUGGCAGGUUAAUGAGAGCCUAGGCUGGCACUCGGAUCGGCCUGCUCCCAGUGGAGGGCUUUCUGCCACCCAUGAG
rnacentral:lncRNA from 1 species